rnacentral:rRNA from 1 species
GAUGAACGCUGGCGGCGUGCCUAAUACAUGCAAGUCGAGCGAACAGACGAGGAGCUUGCUCCUCUGACGUUAGCGGCGGACGGGUGAGUAACACGUGGAUAACCUACCUAUAAGACUGGGAUAACUUCGGGAAACCGGAGCUAAUACCGGAUAAUAUAUUGAACCGCAUGGUUCAAUAGUGAAAGACGGUUUUGCUGUCACUUAUAGAUGGAUCCGCGCCGCAUUAGCUAGUUGGUAAGGUAACGGCUUACCAAGGCGACGAUGCGUAGCCGACCUGAGAGGGGGAUCGGCCACACUGGAACUGAGACACGGUCCAGACUCCUACGGGAGGCAGCAGUAGGGAAUCUUCCGCAAUGGGCGAAAGCCUGACGGAGCAACGCCGCGUGAGUGAUGAAGGUCUUCGGAUCGUAAAACUCUGUUAUUAGGGAAGAACAAAUGUGUAAGUAACUACGCACGUCUUGACGGUACCUAAUCAGAAAGCCACGGCUAACUACGUG